rnacentral:lncRNA from 1 species
UGGCCAUUUCCUCGGUUCCUGAAUGUUUCAGAGACCAUCUUUUAACUGUAUAAUCCACCUCAAGGAAAAAUGUAAGAGACCGACCAUGAUGUAG